CAGUUCUGUUUUACUGUAAUCUUCUGGAUUCUGAUCCUGUGCUCAUGGUCAUCACACUGACUGUCUUGGAGAGGGAGAAAAUAUGUGAACAAGAGUAUUGCUGUUGCUGUCUGAUGGAUAGAGCUUCAGAGAUAAAAGACAAGUAAAUUGUCAAGGCAUUUCUUUUAAAGGAAGAUCAGAAGAAGAACAGAGGGUCAUGUGAACAUCUGUCUACCUUUGAACAUCCACUGCCACGAUUUUCCAGAGAAAACUGAGGCACAAGGAACAGAAGACUUGAGCAAGACAGCAUUCAGCAAAAUUGGGUAUGGAUAUUUACUUGUGAAGAUCCUACUGUUUACCCUUGAUUCUCAGAUCACCCUUCCAUGAUGCAGGAACUGUUUCCUCACAGAUACAUGGGGGAUGAGAGAGAAACAGUGCAAUGCUGAGAUUUCAGCUGUGGCUGCAGCCUGAAUUGGCCACAGCUUCUAGUGCUAGAGGUCAUUAAUUUGACAGGUUGCUGCUGUACAAAUCCCACAGCAGUACAGAAGCAAAAACCAGAUGAUUUCCAUCAACUUCUCAUAAUUGUAAACAAAAGACAAUGAGAAACAUCAGGGAGUCACAUUUCACUGGAGCAUAGAGACAGUGGGGGGCAUAAUUAGCAUUGGAAUAGUAUCUGCAUCAAAUUCAAAAUUAGUAAAAAUAAAGAAAAUUCUUCACUUCUUAGAUGCAAAGCAGCAAUUCUUCUGUGCAUUGCAUUUUUUAUUAAAAUUGCUUUCCAUACUACUUGCAAGAUUUAAAUUAAAGAUCUGCAAAAACAGACAAUUUAUUUUUCCAGCCAUCUGAGUGGGUAUGUUCCCCACAUGUGUUAUUCAUGAUUUUAACAAAGAAGGGUUGAUAGAUACCCAAUUUUUUCUGGACUGUCAUCUUUCAGCAGCAGCCAGAUCAGCUUUUUUUGCUCUUUUCUAUUAGAAUAUGAUCCCUUAAUGAAAGAUGACACAGACAGAAGUCACACC